GGUGCAAUUUGGCACGCAGUAUCGAAGCUAACGCGUUAAGUUCGCCGCCUGGGGAGUACGGUCGCAAGACUGAAACUCAAAGGAAUUGACGGGGGCCCGCACAAGCGGUGGAGUAUGUGGUUUAAUUCGAUGCAAAGGGAAGAACCUUACCCGGCCUUGACCUGUCGCCAACUUUCUGAGAUGGAUUUCUGCCUCGGAACUCGAACACAGGUGCUGCA
rnacentral:rRNA from 1 species